CCCUUAGAUGUUCUGGGCAGCACGCGCGCUACAAUGGUCUUCGCAAACGGAUGCAUUCUCGAAGGAGGAUGCCAAUCUUGGAAUCUAUGCCUUGGUCGGGACAGUUGCUUGCAAUUUUUCGACUCGGACCAGGAAUUCCUUGUAAUCGUGAUUCAUCACAUCACGAUGAAUACGUCCCUGCCCUUUGUACACACCGCCCGUCGCUCCUACCGAUCGAAGAGUUAGGUGAAUUGUUUUGAUCGAUAAGAUUUGACUAUGGUCAACUCUCGUUGUGAAAUUCUGUGAAUCUGACCGUUUAGAGGAAGGAAAAGUCGUAACA
rnacentral:rRNA from 1 species